GGCGGAAGCCUGAUGCAGCGACGCCGCGUGAGGGAUGACGGCCUUCGGGUUGUAAACCUCUUUCAGUAGGGAAGAAGCGAGAGUGACGGUACCUGCAGAAGAAGCGCCGGCUAACUACGUGCCAGCAGCCGCGGUAAUACGUAGGGCGCAAGCGUUGUCCGGAAUUAUUGGGCGUAAAGAGCUCGUAGGCGGUUUGUCGCGUCUGCUGUGAAAGCCCGGGGCUCAACCCCGGGUCUGCAGUGGGUACGGGCAGACUAGAGUGCAGUAGGGGAGACUGGAAUUCCUGGUGUAGCGGUGAAAUGCGCAGAUAUCAGGAGGAACACCGAUGGCGAAGGCAGGUCUCUGGGCUGUUACUGACGCUGAGGAGCGAAAGCAUGGGGAGCGAACAGGAUUAGAUACCCUGGUAGUCCAUGCCGUAAACGUUGGGCACUAGGUGUGGGGGACAUUCCACGUUUUCCGCGCCGUAGCUAACGCAUUAAGUGCCCCGCCUGGGGAGUACGGCCG
rnacentral:rRNA from 1 species